GAUGAACGCUGGCGGCGUGCCUAAUACAUGCAAGUCGAGCGAACAGACGAGGAGCUUGCUCCUCUGACGUUAGCGGCGGACGGGUGAGUAACACGUGGAUAACCUACCUAUAAGACUGGGAUAACUUCGGGAAACCGUAGCUAAUACCGGAUAAUAUAUUGAACUGCAUGGUUCAAUAGUGAAAGACGGUUUUGCUGUCACUUAUAGAUGGAUCCGCGCCGCAUUAGCUAGUUGGUAAGGUAACGGCUUACCAAGGCAACGAUGCGUAGCCGACCUGAGAGGGUAAUCGGCCACACUGGAACUGAGACACGGUCCAGACUCCUACGGGAGGCAGCAGUAGGGAAUCUUCCGCAAUGGGCGAAAGCCUGACGGAGCAACGCCGCGUGAGUGAUGAAGGUCUUCGGAUCGUAAAACUCUGUUAUUAGGGAAGAACAAAUGUGUAAGUAACUAUGCACGUCUUGACGGUACCUAAUCAGAAAGCCACGGCUAACUACGUG
rnacentral:rRNA from 1 species